GGGGGUAUGGCGGAAUUGGUAGACGCUACGGACUUAAAAAAUAAA
rnacentral:tRNA from 1 species